CCGGCUUCAUCGCCGCCUGCGGCCCAGCGUCGCACUCCUCCUGCGCGAGGGCGGCCAAGGCCUGGCCAGGAGCCGCGCCUCCGCCCGCGCGAGCUAGGGCUCGAGGACCGGCGCGGCGCAGGUCUCCGGAAGCCUCCCGAGAGGGGCGAGGGCGCCGGGCCGCGCGUGGGGGCAGGUAUCGUCCUUGGAGAAGAUGGAAGCGGAGAGGCGGCCGGCGCCGGCCUCGCCCUCCGAGGGCCUGUUUGCGGACGGGCACCUGAUCUUGUGGACGCUGUGCUCGGUCUUGCUGCCGGUGUUCAUCACCUUCUGGUGUAGCCUCCAGCGGUCGCGCCGGCUGCUGCACCGCAGAGACAUCUUCCGCAAGAGCAAGCACGGGUGGCGCGACACGGACCUGUUCAGUCAGCCCACCUACUGCUGCGUGUGCGCGCAGCACAUUCUGCAGGGCGCUUUCUGCGACUGCUGCGGGCUCCGGGUGGACGAGGGCUGCCUCAAGAAGGCCGACAGGCGCUUCCAGUGCAAGGAGAUUAUGCUCAAGAAUGACGCCAAGGUCCUGGACGCCAUGCCCCACCACUGGAUCAGGGGCAACGUGCCCCUGUGCAGUUACUGUAUGGUUUGCAAGCAGCAGUGUGGCUGUCAACCCAAGCUUUGCGAUUACAGGUGCAUUUGGUGCCAGAAAACAGUACAUGAUGAGUGCAUGAGAAAUAGUUUAAAGAAUGAAAAGUGUGAUUUUGGAGAAUUCAAAAACCUAAUCAUUCCACCAAGUUAUUUAACCUCCAUUAAUCAGAUGCGUAAAGACAAAAAAACAGAUUAUGAAGUGCUAGCCUCUAAGCUUGGAAAGCAAUGGACGCCGUUAAUAAUCCUGGCCAACUCUCGUAGUGGAACUAAUAUGGGAGAAGGACUGUUGGGAGAAUUUAGGAUCUUGUUGAAUCCAGUCCAGGUUUUUGAUGUAACUAAAACUCCUCCUAUCAAAGCCCUACAACUCUGUACUCUUCUUCCAUAUUAUUCAGCUCGAGUACUUGUUUGUGGAGGGGAUGGGACUGUAGGGUGGGUCCUGGAUGCAGUUGAUGACAUGAAAAUUAAGGGACAAGAAAAGUACAUUCCACAAGUUGCAGUCUUGCCUCUGGGAACAGGCAACGAUCUAUCCAAUACGUUGGGUUGGGGUACAGGUUAUGCUGGAGAAAUUCCAGUUGCACAGGUUUUGCGAAAUGUAAUGGAAGCAGAUGGAAUUAAACUAGAUCGAUGGAAAGUUCAAGUAACAAAUAAAGGAUACUACAACUUAAGAAAACCCAAGGAAUUCACAAUGAACAACUAUUUUUCUGUUGGACCUGAUGCUCUCAUGGCUCUCAAUUUUCAUGCUCAUCGUGAGAAGGCACCAUCUCUGUUUUCUAGCAGAAUUCUUAAUAAGGCGGUUUACUUAUUCUAUGGAACCAAAGAUUGUUUAGUGCAAGAAUGUAAAGAUUUGAAUAAAAAAGUUGAGCUAGAACUGGAUGGUGAGCGAGUAGCACUGCCCAGCUUGGAAGGUAUUAUAGUUCUGAACAUUGGUUACUGGGGCGGUGGCUGCAGACUAUGGGAAGGGAUGGGAGACGAGACUUACCCUCUAGCCAGGCAUGACGAUGGUUUACUGGAAGUCGUUGGAGUAUAUGGGUCUUUCCACUGUGCUCAGAUUCAAGUAAAACUGGCGAAUCCUUUUCGAAUAGGACAGGCACAUACAGUGAGGCUGAUUUUGAAGUGCUCCAUGAUGCCAAUGCAGGUGGAUGGGGAGCCUUGGGCCCAAGGGCCCUGCACUGUCACCAUAACUCACAAGACACAUGCAAUGAUGUUAUAUUUCUCUGGAGAACAAACAGAUGAUGACAUCUCUAGUACUUCGGAUCAAGAAGAUAUAAAGGAGACUGAAUAGAUGGAUGAGGGAGUGAAAACUUUGCAUAGAAUCCUCACGCAAGUAGAUGUAUGUUCAUCCAAAAGUAUUAAUAGAAAUUCUCUAUCAGCUAUUCAGUCUUAAUUUCACUAGUAAUAUUAUGGGUAUACAUUUUUGUAAAUAGCAUCCAAAAACCAGCCAGCCUUCAGUUAUUUACAAACGUUUGUUCUUUUUUCAGCAAAAUACUUCAAAUGAAUAGUAUUAACUUACGAAAAGUCACAAAAACUUACAUGACAAUGAAAAUUUGUUAUUGUUUUGAGAGUGGGACUCGCUCUGAAGUAUGUGCUGUCUCAUUUCUAAUUUUUGAACCAUGCAUAUGAUGGAUGCAUAAUGGGUGGAUACAUUAUAUCUCCAACAAGGUGUGGGUGGAAAUAUCAUUUCCAUCUUCAUUUUUAAUAUGGUGACACCAUAGCAUUUUAAAAAUUAACCUGCUUUUUUGAAAGGAAAUGAUUACUGUCAAACCACCAUGGUUAAUUGUGGGCAUCCUCCUGCAGCAUGCCUCUUAAAAUUUUCUGCAACCCAAACCAAGUGUAUGUAUUGAUUUCUAGGAACCCCCAAAAGGAGAAUAGUAAAAAAAGAUCAUACUUAAAACUUAUAUUAUAAUUUUUAUUUUAGGAACUUAUUCAGACACGUAAAUGUUGUUUAAUUCUGUAGGUAACCAUUUUAGCUGAAAUUCAGGAUCUUUUUUAUGACACCAGUGUAGCCAAAAGAGAAGCAGAUAAGUGAAUUGGUAAGAAAUAAGAUUCAGAGCACUUUGGAUUAUAAGUUGUAGGUUCUGAGCUGAACAGUUUAUCAACCUCUUUUUAUUAAAAGACAGUGUCAACACUUCAAAAAUUGUGCUUAAAGGAAGCUUAAUGGUGAGAUUAAUUGCUUAGGAAAAGCUCAAGGCUGACUGAUGAGUUUUAAAACUUUAGUGGUCUAGUAGCAUUUUGAAAUACAGUAGUCUUUUAACAGAAUUUCCCCUUAGGGAGGUAAGUGGACAGAAAUCUUUGCUAAAAUGUUUAUAUCAUAUUUAUUUUAAAAUAAGAGAGAUAUAUUUUUAAAUUAUUUAUUAUUUACCUUGUGGUAUGAUACCUGUGUUUAGUGUUUACGUUCUGUAGCUUUAUUUAAUAAGUUAAAUUGAUCACAUAAAUUCUGCUAGUCACAAUCAGAUAGAAAUUUAGUCUAUUAAGUAAUUAAAAUUCUAAUUUAAUUCUCCUGACAGAUAUCUAGACAUUCUUAUUCUUCACAAAUAUUCCUCAUUGUAUUGAAAAAAGAAGGAGGGCAUGAAAAGCACUAGGGAACUACUUUUGGAUAACUGAAAGCUUUGUUUCAUUGUUUUGUUUGCCCCUCAAUUGCCACAAACUUACUGAAGGGCCAGUUUCAUGGUUCCCGUUAGAGGGUGCUUGUUCUCUGCUGUUGACCAGCCCAUCCCUUCAUGACCCACAGCCUUUCUCCUGUUCCUCAGAGUAUGCUCUGCACGCUAUCUGCGGCAUCAGAAUGCCUGGGCAGGCUGUUGAAAAUAUGGAUUCCUGAGCCCAACCUUUAACUUAAUGAUUCCCUGUCUCUGGAGACGCAACAUAGAAAUCUGUUUUUAUUAACAAGCACCUCAGGUGAUUCUUAAGCAUACUGAAAUUUGAAAGCUUCUGGUCUGAACCUCUUGUAUUCACCUAGGGCUUUUGCUAGGUGGGAUACCAUGCUGAAAAAUUGAAUUAAUUGUAUGUUCUUAAAAUUGUUUUUCUUCUACUUCACUGUCCUCUUCCCUCAAAAUCACUUUCUAAAAGAACUCUAUGAAAAACUUGUUUGUAUUGCACCCAGAUUGAUAUAUUUGUCUGAACUCUGUUACAUAAAAAUUGGUAUGAUUCAUAUGUGGAGUCAGUUUUUGGACUGUGACCCAUGCAGUGUCGGGGGACAAGGAGUUGCUUCAGGAGUUAGUUAUAGUGAGGCUCCUGCCUUCUCACUUCAAUCAAUGCAGCCACACUUGUGUAUACUGAGUGCUGCUUCAGAUCUCAAUAGAUAAAAUACUUCCACAUUUAAAACGAUUCUACUAUUUUUUAUAAAGGGUUUGAAAGCCACUACUAUAAUGACUUUGUCACCUAAUUGAUUUUCUACUAAUUUUUACAUAUUCAGAAACUUCAUGUGUUUUUGGUGGACAGAAUAUUUUGGAGGUCUCUGUUGCUGCUUAGAAUGUGGCCACUUGGCUAUUUCACAGUUUUUAAAGCUAUUUUAUUGAAUAGUAAAGCAGUGAACUUAGCCUUCGUUCCUCAUGUUUCUAAUUUAAAUAUAUAGUCUGUAUUUAAUUUUAGAUACGUAAAUACACAUCAGUACAUACAUAUUUACCCAUAUGGCCCUGUGUAACCAGUGCAUGAGGUUUGCAUAGCCUAGCCCAAAAAGGUAUAUUCCAGCAUUCUGGGGAAAGAAUUUUAAAAUGCCAUCCUCUAAUACAGACGUUUAUAAAACUUAAAUGAAAUGAUUGAGCUUAACCAUCUACAAGAAUGUCUGCAGAAAAUAAAUCACCUAGAAACUAUAAAUAGAAAUGUGUUGCUGAGGCUGGGCGCAGUGGCUUACCCCUGUAAUCCCAGCACUUGGGGAGGCCAAAGCAGGUGUAUCACCUGAGGUCAGGAGUUCGAGACCAGCCUGGCCAACAUGGUGAAACCCCAUCUGUACUAAAAAUACAAAAAAAAAAUUAGCCAGGCACAGUGGCACAUGCCUUUAGUCCCAGCUAAACAGGAGGCUGAGGCACAAGAAUCGCCGGAACCCAGGCGGCGGAGCUUGCAGUGAACCAUGAUCACGCCACUGCACUCCAGCCUGGGCAACAGAGCAAGACUCCGUCUCAAUAAAAAAAAAAAAUUGUGUUGCUGGUAUCAGAUGUCAGACCAAGAACACUUCAGUCUCUCUAAGAAUGCCCUCAGCUACCUCACUAUUAAAGGACGACAUCAACACAGAAUGCACUAAACAGGAAAUAAGCUGUAAUCGAGGGAAUUUCCAUUAUGUGUUACUUUUUGGUGACUAACGUGGAAUGUUGAAAAGGAAGAGCCGGAAAGCUCAGUUGUUUUCUUUAUUCCUCUGACAUUGUCCAGGCAAGGGAGCAUCCUGAUCAGAUGAGUAGAUUUGGCUGAGAAAAACCCUAGAGUAAGGCAGGCACAUUGUGGAGUUGGAUGAUCCAAGAUGGCUCAUAAAAACGUUUGUUCUCAAUCCAAUUUAGGGCUCUGCCAGCAGUUCAGAUUUGAACUGCUUAAACGAACCCUACAGAUAAAUUGGCACUCUCAUUUGUAAUCCUGUCUGUACAAGUUUAGAGCAGCCUAGCUCGAGUUCUCAACCCCAGUCCUCUUAGAAGUGAACUGAUUGCACUGGAUCCCUAAACCCACAAUGUUGAGGACACGUGUGAUGACUCCACUUGCGCAGCCAGCUGGCCUCUUGCACUUUCCCCUGCCCACCACAGUCCUAUGUACCUAACCACUUAAUUAACCCUGUGUUAAUUGCUUUUGUUUUGUUGGGUCUGUAUUUUUGUGCAGUGCCUGCAGGCAGAAAUGUGAAUUAAAGCAUUUGAUAUGUUGAAGAUACCUGCUUGUUUUUUAAUAAAAUUAAAAGUGUAGCAC